AUGCUAGUUUUUCUUCAAAUCAUAUAGAUCUUUGUGCCUUUUACUAAAGAUUUCCAUGGAGAAAAACUGAGUUCUAAGGUAAUUUUUUUGAGGCCUUGCGUUUUUUACCGUGGU